AUCUACAGAGUUCUACAGAUUUUUUUGGGUAUUCAGCUCUUUGGUGGUAACGCUGCAUGGUGGCAACACUGUCCCUGGGCGGCGUGCGUGUUUGUUGACGUCCAGCGCCGCCCCCAGCGUGUGCCCCGGGCCCAAAGUCUUUGCCCCGGGCCAGUCAAGGUGUCUACUGGUGUGACCCUGUCCAGAUUGUUGGCCGCGUGAUGGCCGCUGCAGCCCGGGUGGCCCGUGGCCCCUCCCUGGCCCCCAGCAGCAGCACCGUGUACAUCUCCAACCUGCCCUUCACCCUCACCAACACCGACUUGCACAAGGUGUUCGACAAGUUCGGGAAGGUCGUCAGAGUUACAAUCCUUAGGGACAAGGAGUCUCGCAAGAGCCGUGGUGUGGCAUUUCUGCUCUAUUUGACCCGAGAGGAGGCCCAGGCAUGUGUGAAAGCUACCGAUGGAUGUGUAAUAUUUGGCCGCACACUCAAGGCCAGCAUUGCCAAGGACAACGGCCGAGCCCCAGAGUUUAUCAGAAGACGGGAAUAUCCUGACAAAUCCAGGUGUUAUGAAUGUGGGGAGUCAGGCCACCUGAGCUACACUUGUCCGUCUAACUUGCUGGGUGACCGAGAGCCCCCCAAGAAAAAGUCAAAGAAAAGAAAGAAAGAACCGGAUCAGCAGACAAAGAAGUCCUCUACAUCAUGUGACACGGAUGAGGAGGCUGAUGAGGAAGAUUUAAAUUUUGAUGAUGAAUCACUAAGUGCAGCCAUCAAGUACCAGCAAGAAUUACGAGAAGCGGAGUCCUUUCAAGAAAGGAUCUAUGUCGGGGAUACUUCUCAAAGCAAGGAAACGAACCAGAAAGUAAAGAUUAAGAAGUCCUCCUACUUCAGUGAUGAGGAGGAGCUGAGUGACAACUGAGGUGUGUUCGAUGCCUUACUCCACAAAUGACAUGAACUACGGGCACCAACACCAGAGCAUGGAGUGGGUGAGCGAUGCUACCAAGCAAUAAGGAACAUGAACAUGCCAGAAUGAAGAGACCAUUUACUCCUAAGCUCCGUGUGAGGCCAACAACGUCAGGCUUGCUGGCUGAGUAGGUGGGGCCAGAGGGGUUGAAUACGAGACACACAGUGCUGGAAAUAUUGACCACCACUUUACCUGCCCCUCUUUUGUUGGUGCCCAUCCUCUCCAGGGCUAGCAGUGUGCCUCUCAUACAGCCUCCCUGUAGAUCAUAAGGGUUGCUCUCACCUUGCCUCUGAUCAACCCCUACUUGGAACAGCACAUCCAUCCCAACCUCAUCUUCUCUCCUGCUUCUCAAGAUAACAGUACAUCUUUAUGUGGUCCCUGUCAUCAUCAGGACUGACUGAAGAUGACCUUCAGCAUCCCCUAUCAAUGUCGCGAAUCUGGCUGGAUCAAUCUUGUUGUAUAACGGGCAUAUGAAUCACUGUUCCUGUUGUAGGUCAGCAUAGGCAAACUCUAGACUCCUGUCAUUCUGAAUUCAUGAAAUUGUUUCAGGAUCUGAACAAAGCCGAAGUGGCAGAGAUAAGUCCUUAUCAGAUUCAUCAGUGGUGUGAAACCAUAAAUUUUGUUGGCUCCAUCACCAAUCUACUUUUCGGUAAGACCACUCACACUUAACCUGGUAGCUGUGGGGAUCAUGUUUCUUAAAGGCCCCUCUAAGGGAAUUAAUGAGACAUAAUCAUCACUCAUGCAAACCAUUUCAUAAUAUAUGUCAAAGCAUUUGUGAUCAGUUCACGCAUCAUCUAUUUUGGGGGGUUUAUAUUGUGGCAAAAAUUGGCCCGUCGCUGGUAGCUACACAGUAAAGCCACAAAUUUGGCCCGUCGCUGCUACUGGGUUAAGGGGACCGUCUGGUAGUGAUUUUAUGAAAAAAUAUGGAAAAUAAGUUAAAGCCACUGAGAGCUACAUGUGGGCUAGGACAGUUCACCCGUUUUGGAAAAAUCUAUAUUUAAAGGGCAAAUUUAAAGGUCCUGCGCACCCCCUGAAAUGUAUGCUUAUGGUGAAGUAAUAUACGCUUACUUUCAGAUCUAUAAGUUGAUACAUAAUAGCAGGAAAAAAUAAAAUGUAAUUUUUCAACAAAACUCAACUCUCAAUUUCUCUCUCAUCUAACAAUCUAUGCUGCUAAAAAAAAUACCAAAGAAACUUAAAGCAGAAUCCAAAAGAUUCAUCAUGGAAAAUUUUUCAAUUUUGCUUUUGUUAAAUGAUGAUAAUUUUUUUCAAUUUUGUUGGUUUCUAAUGAUAUUUUUUUCCGACAAUUAUCCCUUCAUUGAAAAGAAAACUCAUGAUGAAAAACUUGCGCUUCAGGUCCUCUUCCCAAUGAUGUAUUGUUUAUUAAAAUUGGUCAAAUAGCGGCGAAGAUAUUGCAGAAAAACUCAAACUAAUCCCGUUUUCUAAAAAGGAGAGUUAAAGUCUGCACAGAUUUAAAGAGUUCGCCCUUUAAACCUAGAUGCCAGACAUGUUUGAGCAGAUGCUGGUUGGUUUGCUUACUUUCCCAGCCACAAUCUCUCUAUCAUUCAAUGUGUUUUAUUUUGUAACAGUGGGUAUCUGGUCCCCCUUUUUCAAUGGUAUUAGUUGCUAGAAGCGAGGGUAUCAGAGGGCACCACCUUCCUCAUUGUUGCCAAAUUUACUGCACUCUAGAAGCUUCCUGGUUGGUAUUCUUUACUGAGUUUUCUCUUUGCUCUGAAGGACUUCGUGUGUCUGAUGGUGUCUUUUUCUUGGAAAUCCUGAGAUUUCUCUAUGUCGGAGUUGGUCCGGAACAUAUAGGUUAGGAGACUGGCGUCAGCGCCAAAGUUGUGUUCUAAACUGGUAACCCUGGCCAGAAAGGUUACCCUAAAGAGGCCAGCAUACUUGGCCUUAGAGGCUUUGCCCCACAACUUUCCAUGCAGAGACUCGUUAGGGUUCUGCGUGAACCCUUUUAGACAUCUCUGAAGCAAGUCUUGUGCAGUGAGCUCCUUGUACACCCCUCAGAUUAGGGUUAGCUUCUUGAGAGGAAGUUUGGCCAAAUACAAGUUCUCCUUAUGGCAUCUCCUUCCAGGCUAAGUCUCUGUUGAAGAUGCACCAGGAAUCAGUACCCUUGGGACAUAUUUGGUGUCCAGGGUUCUUGUCAGAUGAGCAGAGGCACCAAUAAGAUGCCCACACAGUCUUCUUCAUUUCCUCGUAAGUGUUGCCCACGUUGUCACGAAUCGCUUUUCCAUAAUAUUUUGACUGCUGGUCGAUUGUAUCAUCUGUAAGCAUGUGUGCCCCGCCGAGGAGACUUCUUUUCAUUUUCUUUCCUUACUUGGUGGUGACAAUUUCGCUUGUCUCCUUCAGUUUCUGAAGUCUUGUACCCAUCCUCUUGCUCACGUGAUUAAUGCAUGCCUCUUUGAUGAUGGGAACAUCAUACGGUCCCCGCCCUUCAUUCAAGCUGCACACUGCACUGUAGGCACUGGAGUCGCCGUCCCCAAUGAACGUCAUGUACUUCAUUUGGUGUCGAGUCGAUCGAGACCAAGGCCGCACAACUCCUUUCUCCAUGGCACUCGACUGUCCUUCGUAGUUUUGUAGCAGCUGUGUUUCUUCUCUACUUUGCCGUCCUUGCACAUGAUGCAGUAGUUACUCAAGACCUCCAUAUCAAGGGUUGUCCUUUGUGUAGGCCUCGAUGACAAAGCACACGCCAAUGUAUGGCUUUUGGCCCCGUGCCAUCCACCUGCCAUCGAAUGUCACAUUAGUUGCCACAUAUCCAUUUUCAUCAGGGUCUUGCUCCAGCUGUUCAAGGUAGUACUGUCUGACUUUGGCUCUGGCUUUCUUCAUAAAAUCUUCAUAAUACUGGUUCAUUUGCUUGAACAGAAAAGUGCAAUGUUUAGCAUACGAUGAGCAACUGAAGGGAUCACCUUGAAAUCCAACAACAUUCUGUAUGCCAGCACGCCCCACUCCAGUCAUGAGACUGAGGUACACCUGCACUAAAUUGUACUCGGUGAAAUUUUCUGUUGUGCAUGGAGGAGCUUCAGUGAUGACUUUGUCACAGGAUGUACACUCUAGGGUGAAACUGGCGUCCAUCAUGAGGGUUGUAGGAUGACUCACACUGCCUCUUCAAUUCAUGUACGGGCACUUCUGGUUGGACACUUACUUUUAACUUACAAAUUCACUCCCUCAGAAGAAUAGUCAUAAACUGUGGAACAGCUUUCCUUCUACACUAAAGUUGUGUUCCCAUAACCAUUUUUGCCCUUGACAUGCACCCCCCCCCCCCCACACACACACACCAAGGUAAAGAAAAGGAGCAGGAAACUAGGGUAGAUCAAUUUCAAAUAGCUGUAUGACCAAAUAAUAAUAAUAAAUAACAACUAGAGUAGAAGUAGUAUAAUAAAUCAAAAUUAAAAGUAA